UUUUUAUGGAGAGUUUGAUCCUGGCUCAGGAUGAACGCUGGCGGCGUGCCUAAUACAUGCAAGUCGAGCGAACAGACGAGGAGCUUGCUCCUCUGACGUUAGCGGCGGACGGGUGAGUAACACGUGGAUAACCUACCUAUAAGACUGGGAUAACUUCGGGAAACCGGAGCUAAUACCGGAUAAUAUAUUGAACCGCAUGGUUCAAUAGUGAAAGACGGUUUUGCUGUCACUUAUAGAUGGAUCCGCGCCGCAUUAGCUAGUUGGUAAGGUAACGGCUUACCAAGGCGACGAUGCGUAGCCGACCUGAGAGGGUGAUCGGCCACACUGGAACUG
rnacentral:rRNA from 1 species